GACGAACGCUGGCGGCGUGCUUAACACAUGCAAGUCGAACGGAAAGGCCCUGCUUUUGUGGGGUGCUCGAGUGGCGAACGGGUGAGUAACACGUGAGUAACCUGCCCUUGACUUUGGGAUAACUUCAGGAAACUGGGGCUAAUACCGGAUAGGAGCUCCUGCUGCAUGGUGGGGGUUGGAAAGUUUCGGCGGUUGGGGAUGGACUCGCGGCUUAUCAGCUUGUUGGUGGGGUAGUGGCUUACCAAGGCUUUGACGGGUAGCCGGCCUGAGAGGGUGACCGGCCACAUCGGGACUGAGAUACGGCCCAGACUCCUACGGGAGGCAGCAGUGGGGAAUAUUGCACAAUGGGCGGAAGCCUGAUGCAGCAACGCCGCGUGCGGGAUGACGGCCUUCGGGUUGUAAACCGCUUUCGCCUGUGACGAAGCGUGAGUGACGGUAAUGGGUAAAGAAGCACCGGCUAACUACGUGCCAGCAGCCGCGGUGAUACGUAGGGUGCGAGCGUUGUCCGGAUUUAUUGGGCGUAAAGGGCUCGUAGGUGGUUGAUCGCGUCGGAAGUGUAAUCUUGGGGCUUAACCCUGAGCGUGCUUUCGAUACGGGUUGACUUGAGGAAGGUAGGGGAGAAUGGAAUUCCUGGUGGAGCGGUGGAAUGCGCAGAUAUCAGGAGAAACACCAGUGGCGAAGGCGGUUCUCUGGGCCUUUCCUGACGCUGAGGAGCGAAAGCGUGGGGAGCGAACAGGCUUAGAUACCCUGGUAGUCCACGCUGUAAACGGUGGGUACUAGGUGUGGGGUCCAUUCCACGGGUUCCGUGCCGUAGCUAACGCUUUAAGUACCCCGCCUGGGGAGUACGGCCGCAAGGCUAAAACCCAAAGGAAUUGACGGGGCCCCGCACAAGCGGCGGAGCAUGCGGAUUAAUUCGAUGCAACGCGUAGAACCUUACCUGGGUUUGACAUGGAUCGGGAGCGCUCAGAGAUGGGUGUGCCUCUUUUGGGGUCGGUUCACAGGUGGUGCAUGGCUGUCGUCAACUCGUGUCGUGAGAUGUUGGGUUAAGUCCCGCAACGAGCGCAACCCUUGUUCACUGUUGCCAGCACGUUAUGGUGGGGACUCAGUGGAGACCGCCGGGGUCAACUCGGAGGAAGGUGGGGAUGACGUCAAGUCAUCAUGCCCCUUAUGUCCAGGGCUUCACGCAUGCUACAAUGGCUGGUACAGAGAGUGGCGAGCCUGUGAGGGUGAGCGAAUCUCGGAAAGCCGGUCUCAGUUCGGAUUGGGGUCUGCAACUCGACCUCAUGAAGUCGGAGUCGCUAGUAAUCGCAGAUCAGCAACGCUGCGGUGAAUACGUUCCCGGGGCU
rnacentral:rRNA from 1 species